rnacentral:lncRNA from 1 species
AAAAACUUCACCCGAAAAGCUUCACUUAAAAAAGCUUCACCUACAGAGCUUCACCUAAAAAAGCUUCACCUAGAAAGCUUCACCUACAUAGCUUCACCCAGAAAGCUUCACCAUCAAAGCUUCACUUAGAAAGCUUCAACACCAAAGCUUCACCUACAAAGCUUCAACACAAAACCUUGCUCCAAAUAAACAAAUUUUGUUCACAAAACCCAAGAUGCAACAUCCUUGUCAUAACCAAACAAGCAAUUAUGUAUAUGUUUCCAAACAUAUUAUAAUAGAUCCAACAACAAGCCAAAGUC